UACCGGAUAUGACUCCAUGACGCAUGUUGUGGGGUGGAAAGCCUUGUGCGGCUAGGGAUGGGCCCGCGGCCUAUCAGCUUGUUGGUGGGGUGAUGGCCUACCAAGGCGAUGACGGGUAGCCGGCCUGAGAGGGCGACCGGCCACACUGGGACUGAGACACGGCCCAGACUCCUACGGGAGGCAGCAGUGGGGAAUCUUGCGCAAUGGGCGAAAGCCUGACGCAGCGACGCCGCGUGAGGGAUGACGGCCUUCGGGUUGUAAACCUCUUUCAGCCCUGACGAAGCGAAGGUGACGGUAGGGGCAGAAGAAGCACCGGCCAACUACGUGCCAGCAGCCGCGGUAAUACGUAGGGUGCAAGCGUUGUCCGGAAUUAUUGGGCGUAAAGAGCUCGUGGGUGGCCUGUCGCGUCGGCUGUGAAAACUCGGGGCUCAACUCCGAGCUUGCAGUCGAUACGGGCAGGCUAGAGUGCGGCAGGGGAGACUGGAAUUCCUGGUGUAGCGGUGAAAUGCGCAGAUAUCAGGAGGAACACCGGUGGCGAAGGCGGGUCUCUGGGCCGAUACUGACACUGAGGAGCGAAAGCGUGGGGAGCGAACAGGAUUAGAUACCCUGGUAGUCCACGCCGUAAACGUUGGGCGCUAGGUGUGGGAUCCCUUCCACGGGUUCCGUGCCGCAGCUAACACAUUAAGCGCCCCGCCUGGGGAGUACGGCCGCAAGGCUAAAACUCAAAGGAAUUGACGGAAUCGAAUU
rnacentral:rRNA from 1 species